UACGGAGGGUGCGAGCGUUAAUCGGAAUUACUGGGCGUAAAGCGCGCGUAGGUGGCUCGAUAAGCCGGUUGUGAAAGCCCCGGGCUCAACCUGGGAACGGCAUCCGGAACUGUCAAGCUAGAGUGCAGGAGAGGAAGGUAGAAUUCCCGGUGUAGCGGUGAAAUGCGUAGAGAUCGGGAGGAAUACCAGUGGCGAAGGCGGCCUUCUGGACUGACACUGACACUGAGGUGCGAAAGCGUGGGUAGCAAACAGG
rnacentral:rRNA from 1 species